CGUUUCCUCCUGAAAAUGCCCAUCUCGGAACCUUGGCUGUGCCCCGAGGGAGGCACCGGAAUGGCAAAAGUGAGGACAUACGGCUGCCAGCAUCGUCUAUGCUCUAGAUAGGGGUCAAAUGUCAACUUUCUGCCAGGUCCAGCCCGGAUGUGAGGGCUGUGAAGGCAACAACCAAGGAACCAUUCCUUCGGAUGGAAGUCCUAUGGCAGAGAGAAGCUGAUGUUUGAAUUUUCCUGUAGAGCCCUUGAGGUUCCAUGAAUCAGUCUGGGAAGGAUGCAGGUUAAGUGGGAAGCAGAAGCCCUCAAUCACGUGAUGACGGAAAAGCCGAAAAGGCUGGGUUAUACCCUUAGGAAACCUAUUUGUUUCUUGGCUCCCUGCAGGGGCAUGCACACUAGCAAAGGCUCAAUCCCUUCAUUAUUCAUUUGAUCACAAAAGAAGGAAUGAGAGGAAAAAUACUUUUAUUUUUCACCAAGCAAUCACCAAGCGCAGUCUCAACGAAGAGCCCCUCCUUCUUUCAUGUCUUCUUUUGUGUGUGACUUACUCAGUCUAAGGUAAAGGAACCCAAGCUGGGCCCAAUGCCAAGUGCACUUCUUCAAUGUUACAUUCUGGGACAGGAGAGAGGAUCACUGGUUGAGCCUACCUACUCUGUGGACACAUUGUAAUCCUGAAACUGUUCUGAGCUUCCAUUCAUGGCCAGGACACCUGAUCACUUCAUCGUUGGGUUCUGUGUUUGAAAACUGGGCCAGCUCUGAACCUGGGUGACAGAACACACUGUGGAGAAACCUUGUCUCUAGGAUCUUGCUCAUACACUCUUGGCUCCUCUUGCUCUGGUGGAGCUCCUCAGUGCCCACUGGGAAAGUGAUCUGGCUCCCAAGACCACCAGCCUGUUCAAGUCAUGGAUGGCACCAGUUUUCACAGGCUGAGUGAUUAGAAAACAGACUCUGGGACAGCUGUGUACAUAAGAGUCAUCUGGGCAUUGCUCUUACAAUCCCUGUAGAAGACAAGAGCUCAGAUUGACCCACCCGAAGUCCCUGGGAUUCACUUCUUCACCCUUCACACCUCGGCUUGCAGAAACAAGAUGCCACGUUUGACUUUAUGUGGUUGCUGGGAACAUGAAUUUGGGUCCUAGGGUUUACAAGUCAAGCACUUUACCCAUUGACCAUCUCCCUAGCCGUGUGACUGGCUUCUUUACCUUCAUGAUAACUACUCAUCAGCUAUAUUUUAAUCUGGCAAGGGGACUUGAAUUUGAAUGAGAUGACUCUAGUUAAAUAGUUUUGAUGAGGAGUGACAACUGAAGGCUCUUCGGGGCUAAAGGGAUACUUAGGUGUUGUGUUCCAUCCCCACCCCUGUUGACUAUAUAGGGCGAUACAAUGACUAACACAGGCUGGACACUUUAGAAGACAAACUUCAGACAAUUCCCCACCAAAAGGAUGUAUACCCUGGUUAUGGGUUUUUGGUUUGGGAGACUAUGUAUGCUAAGAUGAAUGUAGCUUGAUGAGUUGGGAAGACACUACAUAUGAGAUGAGCCAUGGUAAAGACUGCAUAAAGACAGGGGCAGACUUGGAUCUUUCCUUUCUCGGUUGCUAAAUGACUGAAAAAGCCUUUUAACCCCAUAGACCUUCUGCUCAUCUAAACAGAGUGGAGGUUGGCACUAUCUAAGACAUAUAAAGAACCGUCAAAACUCAGUGAUUAAAAUAUUAGACUAGGAAACUUAGAAAAGACAGAUCUGCCACUAAAGAGGCUAUAAAGAUGACAAAGUAGUAUAUGAAAAGAGGAUCAACAGCAUAAGCCAUCAUAGAAACACUCAGUAAACAUACAGUAUGAUACACUAAGGAGUUGAGGGGUCACUCAGUGGUUAGGGGCACAGAGGACUCUGCCAGAGGACUUGAGUUCACUUCCCAUCUCAUGUGGUUCGCAAUUGCCUAUAACUCCAGCUCCAAGGGUGAGGAUGGUCUUCCACACACACAUGCACACACACACACACACACACACACACACACACACACACACACACAUACACACAUACAUGCACAAAUGCGCAUGCUCACACACAAACACAUACUCACAUAUAUAAAUAAAAUAGAGAUCCUACCCUACUAUCAGAAUGGUUCAAAAAAUUUAAGGACAUCAACAAACACUGGCAAGGAUGUCAGACUCAUACGCAGCUACUGAGAAUGUAAAAUGGGACAAUCAGUCUAAAAACUGCAUUGAUGUCUCUAGGAAAUCAAACAUAUGCCUGCCAUAUGACCCAGAAAACAUUUUCCUAAGGCAUUUAUCCAAGAGAAGUGAAAGUGCACAAAAUCUACAUAUGCAUUUUCAUAUAUGUUGAUUUUCAAUAACUAGAAAUAACCCAAGCAUCUCACAACAAGCGAGCAAUUAGACAAACUACCAAGUCCACAUUCAGAAAUACUACUCACCAAUAGCAAUGAGAACAGUGUCGGUCUACACAACAACUCAGGUGGAUAUCAAGAGAAUCAUGCUGGGGAGGGAAAUUUCAGACUUCCGUAUGGUGUUUGAUAAAAUUUAUGCAACAUUCUUAAAAUUAAUCAAAGUAUAAAUCUGGAGACAUAUUAUUGCUGGUCACAGGUCGGGAGAAGGGACAGGUGGCAGUUGGUUCUAAAAGGUAUCACAAGAGGCCACUGAUGGGACGAGUCUAAGUUUGACUAUGGUGGUUUUCUUUUUCUCGGUUUUCUUUUUCUAUGAUAAACACCAUUACCAAACGCAAUUUGGAGAGGAAAGGGUUUGUUUCAUCUGACAGGAGACAGAUUGAAAGCAGGACCUUAAAGCAGAAACCACAGAGGGAUGCCCUUUAGUGGUUUGCUCCGUGUUCAGCUAGCUUUCUUAGACAACCUAAGCGACCUGCCUAGGGAAGAUGCUCCCCGUAGUAAACUGGACAGAGAAGGUACCACACACAUCCCCAUAGGCAACCUGAUGGAGGCCAUCCCUUAACCGGCAGGUUCUUUCUUCCCAAGUGUAUCUCAUAGAGAGGCACACGAGUCUCUCCACAUAACAAAGUUACAGACAGAGUGGCACCGGCCUAAAAUCUCAACUACGCAGGUGACAGAGGCAGAAGGAUUGCAAGUUUCAGGUAUGCCUGUGUUACAGAUUGGGAUCAACGCUACCUUGGGCAACUUAAGUCAGAUGGAACCAGAAGGCUGGGGAUACAUCUCAGCGGUAGAGCACUGGCUUAGCCUGUGUAGGUCAGUUUCUAGUAUGGCAAGCAAUCAAUGAAUAGCUGAAAAUAUGCAUGUCUAAGCACAGGGCAAAACUAUGAAACCUGGAUAUGACUAGUAUAGUCUGUCAAUUUUCUGGUUGUGAAGUGGUGUUGUGGUUAUGCAAUCUGUUGCCAACUAAUAAAAACUGGUAUGCAUAUGAA
rnacentral:lncRNA from 1 species